GCAACACACGCGAACCUGGAUACUGAUGCUAGCUUAGAGUUUGACUCACACAAUGCACAAAAAUUACACCGCAUGGCUGCAGUGGUUGUUUUUUUUUCCUCUCUCACUCAAACCUGGCGUUUCCAAGGCUUAAGUGCAUGUUUCUAAUUUUUCCUUGCCGUUACGAGACAUCUUGAUACAUCUUCACCAUGACAACAGUAGUAAAAGACAACAUCCAUCAAACAUCAGGCGGUGUCAGAUGUUUUCGAGGGCUGCGGGGGCGCUGGGGCCCGUCUUCAGCUGCCAUUGGAAGAGAGGCAGCGUACUCCCUGGACAAGUCGCCAGUCUCACGGACACAACAAUCAAACAAUUAACAUUAUUCUUUGCACUUUUACAAGUGAGCUUGUUAAUUCCUUUAAAUCUUCAGUUUCAAUUUUUAAACAAUUUAAAAUACAUUAAUUUAUCUAUGUUAAACGUUUAAGUCAAAUUUCUAUUCAAUUCAAUUAAAAAUACUUGUUUUUUUAAUC